rnacentral:rRNA from 1 species
CCUACGGGUGGCUGCAGUGGGGAAUAUUGGACAAUGGGGGGAACCCUGAUCCAGCCAUGCCGCGUGUGUGAAGAAGGCCCUCGGGUUGUAAAGCACUUUCAGUGAGGAAGAACGCCUGGUGGUUAAUACCCAUCAGGAAAGACUUCACUCACAGAAGAAGCACCGGCUAACUCCGUGCCAGCAGCCGCGGUAAUACGGAGGGUGCGAGCGUUAAUCGGAAUUACUGGGCGUAAAGCGCGCGUAGGUGGCUUGAUAAGCCGGUUGUGAAAGCCCCGGGCUCAACCUGGGAACGGCAUCCGGAACUGUCAAGCUAGAGUGCAGGAGAGGAAGGUAGAAUUCCCGGUGUAGCGGUGAAAUGCGUAGAGAUCGGGAGGAAUACCAGUGGCGAAGGCGGCCUUCUGGACUGACCCUGACACUGAGGUGCGAAAGCGUGGGUAGCAAACAGGAUUAGAUACCCUGGUAGUC